UCGCGUCGGCCCUUGAAAUCCGAGUGAGGGAGUGUGAUUUUCGUGCCGGAGCGUACCCACAUCCGCAGCAGGUCUCCAAGGUGAACAGCCUCUAGUCGAUGGACCAAUGUAGGUAAGGGAAGUCGGCAAAACGGAUCCGUAACCUUGGGAUAAGGAUUGGCUCUGAGGACUGAGCCGGUCGGGCUGGGGACCUGAAGCAGGAACGGCACUGCACCGGGACUGGGCGGGGCUCGCCGUUCACGCGGCGCGGCCAAGCCCGGACCAGCGUCGGGACCUUCCUGUGGAAAGCCUCAGCUGCGCGGCGUCCGAGGGCUUCGUGCCCAAAGUGCUAUGCUUCGGCCGGCAAAAAACAGUCAACUCAGAACUUGCACGGACCGGGGGAAUCCGACUGUCUAAUUAAAAUAAAGCAUUGCGAUGGCCGCUGGUCGGUGUUGACGCAAUGUGAUUUCUGCCCAGUGCUCUGAAUGUCAACGUGAAGAGAUUCAUCAAAGCGCGGGUAAACGGCGGGAGUAACUAUGACUCCCCAUGUGUUCUUUCUUUUGUUGUUGUUUUGGAGGGGCGUAGGUGUGUGGAAUCUCGCCUGCCAUAUUUGUUUUUUUUAUGUAACCAAUGUGUAUGUAUCUUUUUCUUUCGUUCUGUGUUUUGUGUUCUUUUUAUUCUCUUGAGAUUGUUGUUGUCAUCUCUGUAAUGGCCUCCUUAGAGUCAACUAGACAUGUAUAAAAAUAAACAACUAUCUCUUUUUUUUUCCCCUUUGCACAGGGGAACUCCUGUUGUGUGAAAUUGAAAAUUGAAGUGCUGUUAGUCUUCUUCUGUAGUCAGUGUUCAUUUUGUGUUUUGAGUGCUGUGUCGUUCCCACACUUGGAUGUGCUAUGGUGUUUGUGACAAUGAGGUUAAGCUUCCUUAAAAAGCGAACGAGUUGGAUUCUUCCAAUAAAAAGUUAGCCAAAUGCCUCGUCACCUAAUUAGUGACGCGCAUGAA
rnacentral:ncRNA from 1 species